rnacentral:misc_RNA from 1 species
GAUGAAGAACGUAGUGAAAUGCGAUAAGUAAUGUGAAUCUCAGAAUUCAGUGAAUCAUCGAAUCUUUGAACGCACCUUGCACCCUUUGGCAUUCUGAAGGGUAUGCUCGUUUGAGUGUCAUUGUACUCUCACACUCCCGAUCUUUGCAUUGGGAGCAGUGGACUUGGGUUUGCUGCUUCACCGUCGCUUACCUCAAAUAGGUUAGUGCAACUCUUGGUUGGACAUAGUACGGCGUGAUAAGUGUUCUUCGCCGGUGCCUCGCAAAGAGGGUGGCCGAUCGGGAUGUUGUGCUCCAAGCCGUCUUCGGACAAUCUCUGACGACUUGACCUCAAAUCGAGUAAGACUACCCGCUGAACUUAAGCAUAUCAAUAAGCGGAGGA